rnacentral:rRNA from 1 species
UACGUAGGGGGCAAGCGUUGUCCGGAAUCAUUGGGCGUAAAGCGCGUGUAGGCGGCUCGGUAAGUCUGCUGUGAAAGUCCAGGGCUCAACCCUGGGAUGCCGGUGGAUACUGUCGAGCUCGAGUCCGGAAGAGGCGAGUGGAAUUCCUGGUGUAGCGGUGAAAUGCGUAGAUAUCUGGAGGAACACCGGUGGCGAAGGCGGCAUCCUGGACCGAGAUUGACGCUGAGGCGCGAAAGCCAGGGGAGCAAACGGG